GUGGGGAAUAUUGGACAAUGGGGGGAACCCUGAUCCAGCCAUGCCGCGUGUGUGAAGAAGGCCUUUUGGUUGUAAAGCACUUUAAGCGAGGAGGAGGCUACCGAGAUUAAUACUCUUGGAUAGUGGACGUUACUCGCAGAAUAAGCACCGGCUAACUCUGUGCCAGCAGCCGCGGUAAUACAGAGGGUGCAAGCGUUAAUCGGAUUUACUGGGCGUAAAGCGCGCGUAGGUGGCCAAUUAAGUCAAAUGUGAAAUCCCUGGGCUUAACUUGGGAAUUGCAUUCGAUACUGGUUGGCUAGAGUAUGGGAGAGGAUGGUAGAAUUCCAGGUGUAGCGGUGAAAUGCGUAGAGAUCUGGAGGAAUACCGAUGGCGAAGGCAGCCAUCUGGCCUAAUACUGACACUGAGGUGCGAAAGCAUGGGGAGCAAACAGGAUUAGAAACCCUUGUAGUCC
rnacentral:rRNA from 1 species